AGUGUACUCAACAAAAGAUAAAUUUUAGUUAAGUCAAACCCAUCAUUCAGAAAUAUCAAAUAUUUCAUAGUGUCAAACAUAUCCCUAAUGGACCAGCCUUGAGUGUACUCAACAAACUGAGACGAUUUAGGAUUCUCGUUUUUCACUAUAAUGAUGGAAGGUGAUUACAAAUGUGACUUAAUAUUUUAUUGAGGGGAUUUGCAUACAACUCCUAGAUCAUUAAGUUGACAACUCCUUGUCCUCACAUAUUUUAUCAUGUCUCUAAAAUCUAUCUCCUUGAGUGUACUCAACAAAAGAUAAACUUUAGUUAAGUCGGACCCAUCAUUCAGAAACAUCUGAUAUUUCAUAGUGUCAGACAUAUCCAUAAUAGAUCAGCCUUGAGUGUUCUCAACAAGCUGAGAUCGAUUUAGGACUCUGGGUUUUCACUAUAAUGAUGGAGGACAAAUGUAAAAUAUGACUUAAUAUUUUAUUGAGGUUUUUGUAUGCAUAGGUCUCAUCAAUAUCGAUAUAAUCAUAUAUAUAUAAUUUAUUAUACAUCUACUAUGCAAAUAAAUAUACAUAUAGUAUAAUAUAAUAGUGUGGACAAUUAUGGACUUUUACUAUCUAGUCUUCCCGAGCCAUAAGGGAGACUAGUUGGUCAAUCCCUAAGGGGUAUUGCAUUGAUCAGUAUCAAUGCACCAUCUCCAUGGUUUCCUCCUCUUCUCAUGUCUUCAACCAGUCCAGCUGCAACAUGUAUCCUAUACUAGUUGGCACGCAGGCCUAAAUGAAAUUGGACUCGCAGGCCCAUAGUAACAAUAAUAAUAAUGGACUCGCAGGUCCAAAAUAUAAUAACAAUAAUAACGGGCUCGCAGGCCCAAAACGACAAAAUUAAAAAUUAACCAUUCAACACAUCCAUAUGGUCGAGUCCAUAAUCGUCCACUAAUAAUACAUUCAUCACAUAAAUGUAUACCUAUAUAAUAUCUAAUAUUAUAUGCAAAUAAGUUUCAAGUUUCUAGCAAUUAAGUCGUCUAAACUCUUUUAGACAAAUGGAUC
rnacentral:lncRNA from 1 species